CCUACGGGGGGCUGCAGUGGGGAAUUUUGGACAAUGGGCGAAAGCCUGAUCCAGCCAUGCCGCGUGAGUGAAGAAGGCCUUCGGGUUGUAAAGCUCUUUUGUCCGGGAGGAAAUCCUGGCCUCUAAUACAGGUCGGGGAUGACAGUACUGGAAGAAUAAGCACCGGCUAACUACGUGCCAGCAGCCGCGGUAAUACGUAGGGUGCAAGCGUUAAUCGGAAUUACUGGGCGUAAAGCGUGCGCAGGCGGUUUUGUAAGCCAGAUGUGAAAUCCCCG
rnacentral:rRNA from 1 species